AAUAGACGUACCCGGGUAGUCCACGCCGUAAAACUAUGAUUACUCGAUGUCGGCGAUAUACUGUCGGUGUCCAAGCGAAAGUGAUAAGUAAUCCACCUGGGGAGUACGAUCGCAAGGUUGAAACUCAAAGGAAUUGACGGGGGCCCGCACAAGCGGUGGAGCAUGUGGUUUAAUUCGAUGAUACGCGAGGAACCUUACCUGGGCUUGAAUGCAUUAUGACCGUCCCGGAAACGGGACUUUCUUCGGACAGAAUGCAAGGUGCUGCAUGGUUGUCGUCAGCUCGUGCUGUGAGGUGUCGGGUUAAGUCCCAUAACGAGCGCAACCCCUAUUCUUAGUUGCCAGCGGGUAAUGCCGGGGACUCUAAGAAACUGCCCGCGUAAGCGGUGAGGAAGGUGGGGAUGACGUCAAAUCAUCACGGCCCUUACGUCCAGGGCUACACACGUGCUACAAUGGUCAGUACAAAGGGCAGCUACCUGGUGACAGGAUGCUAAUCUCGAAAACUGAUCUCAGUUCGGAUCGAAGUCUGCAACUCGUAC
rnacentral:rRNA from 1 species